AUGGAGGAUGUGAUCUACGAGGGUGGGCAGGGCCGUGCCUACGACCCCGACGAGACCCAAAGUCAGGAUGGCCGCGCCCAGUACGUUGCCGAUGAAGAGGCCGACGACCGUGCUGACUACGACCAUGGUGACUCGUGGCAUGAAGACGAUGACAUCUAUUGUGAAGGUGAUGGUGAUGAAGAAGAAGGCAAUGACAUUUAUAUUGGUGGCGAGCCAUUGUUCAUCGACGAGCUCACCCAAAGAGCAGAAGCACAAAAGAGGAGGAAGAGCAUUCGCACGGGUUCAUAUACACAAGAGGAGGACAAGUUGAUUUUCUAAUGUUGAAUGGAGAUUAGCCAAGAUCUGAGGACCGGCGCGCAACAAAAGGGCCUUGUUUUUUGGAUGAGAGUCCACAAAACAUUCCAUGAAAGGAAGAUGUUUGAGCCCUACCAAAUUACAAGCAACCGUGGCAUCACCUCGAUUCAAAAGAGGUGGUUGUUCAUCAAACAAGAGUGCAACAAGUAUUGCGCCGCAUUUGAGAGCGUUGAAGCAUGGCUCGUGAGUGGUCUCAGCGUUGGGGACAUGGUAUAA
rnacentral:rRNA from 1 species